CGGCGACGGGUGAGUAACACGUGGAUAACCUACCUAUAAGACUGGGAUAACUUCGGGAAACCGGAGCUAAUACCGGAUAAUAUUUUGAACCUCAUGGUUCAAAAGUAAAAGACGGUCUUGCUGUCACUUAUAGAUGGAUCCGCGCUGCAUUAGCUAGUUGGUAAGGUAACGGCUUACCAAGGCAACGAUGCAUAGCCGACCUGAGAGGGUGAUCGGCCACACUGAAACUGAGACACGGUCCAG
rnacentral:rRNA from 1 species